AUGGGGCCCGGAUUGUUUUGGAACUUCCCUUCAAAGGCUAACUGCACGGUGCCGCAGAGCCUGCUGCAGACCAUGUUGCUCUCCAGGAUGGCUGGGAUGAAGGAGCAGCAAUUUACUGAGGAGAAACCCCUACUACCAGAGCAGAGAGGACAAGAUACUGAGAUGAGAGACCAAGGGCGGUGUGUGAACGCACUCCCCUGCGCAAGCCCUGCGCCACUCACCGCCCCCUCUUCCUCAAGCCGCCCCCCACAACGGUGGCAUGUGAUCGCGCGGCACUGGCUCCACCAGACCCGCAAUCGGACCAGUGGGUGCAUCCCGGUAAUUACAUACCCAGAACUAACCUGCAGGGGGACUAUUCCCCAUGCCCUGCAGGGGUCCCAAAUCUCCGUUACCUUUGACUGUGUUAUCGGAUGCACCUUUAAAUCCUCACCUACAACACAUCCUGAGUCAGAGAAAUAUGGAGGGCCACAAACAACAGAGAUGAUCUAUAUUUAUUAAAGUUCCUUUACACACAGGCUGUAGUAGUAGCAAUAGCAGUGUUUCAUGCUGACAUAAAUUCACAGACAGACUAAGGAUAAUCUGAUAAUAGAGAGAUUUUGAACAUUCCUGGAGACCAACAUGCAGCCAGCCAACACCUCCAGCACAAUGUCGCAGCCCCCACCCCCCCACCCCCCACCACCACCACCACCACCACCACCAACCCCACCAUUCUGUGCUACUGCAGUCACACGUGGGCUCCAAAGGACAAGAGUGACACCUGCUGGUCCGACCGUCCGAAUGAAACCACUAACCUACUACGUCUCUCCACUNNNNNNNNNNNCUGUACCGGUACCCCCUGUAUGUAGCCUCCACAUUGAUUCUGUACCGGUACCCCCUGUAUGUAGCCUCCACAUUGACUCUGUACCGGUACCCCCUGUAUGUAGCCUCCACAUUGACUCUGUACCGGUACCCCCUGUAUGUAGCCCCGCUGUUGUUAUUUACUGCUGCUCUUUAAUUAUUAUUUGUUUUUAUCUAUUACUUUUUUUAGGGGGUAUUUUCUUUAAACUGCGUUGUUGGUUAAGGGCUUGUAAGUAAGCAUUUCACUGUAAGGUCUACACUUGUUGUAUUUGGCGCAUGUGACAAAUAACAUUUGAUUUGAUUUGAAAACAGCCUUUUUUGACCAGCUGAAGUACCCACCAAUAUGUAAGCUUUAANNNNNNNNNNNNNNNNNNNCCACCACCACCACCAACCCCACCAUUCUGUGCUACUGCAGUCACACGUGGGCUCCAAAGGACAAGAGUGACACCUGCUGGUCCGACCGUCCGAAUGAAACCACUAACCUACUACGUCUCUCCACUAAAAACAACUGCAUGAAAUAACCAUUCUUUCUAGGUGUGUCUGAUCACUGUAACACUGUCUUGAAUGGCAUCACCCUCUAUCAAUGGACUGCUGAUGACAAUGCAACCAUUUGUCAACUUUCCUCUUUCACCUCAUUCGUGUGUUGAUCUAUAAUCCUUUUGUCUUUCCUGAAACCACUGUAUAUGAAUACACUAUCUAGGAUUGUACCUUUAGCACCACAAGGAGUUUGGGGACAAUUAUUGUUAACCCACUAAUAAUGCUUCUGAUUCAACUAUAACCUCUAUAGAGCAUGUCCUUCAUGUUGCACUGAAGUUUAGGGGAAUGCUUGGGUUCUGGUUUGGCUCUUUUAGGGCAGGGAAAACGUAUUCUGUCUCUCCUGAGCCUUCUCUUCCCUGUCCACUAACUGCUGUCUGUCUGUUUGGACCCACACAGCCUCUAUCUCUGUUGCUCUCUGUGGAUCCAUCCCCUCAGCUUUAACGGCCUGCUCAGCCCUGUGGCAUCUCAGAAGUGGAAGCAGAGGGACUAACAUACUGGGCGUCAGUUGACAUUGUGUUUUUGUUAUCUGUCUGC
rnacentral:lncRNA from 13 species